ACGCUGGCGGCGUGCCUAACACAUGCAAGUCGAGCGAGAGCCCUUGGAACGAGAUUUCGAUCAAAGUGAAGAGGAGGAAAGCGGCGGACGGGUGAGUAACGCGUAGGCAACCUGCCCACAGGAGAGGGAUAGCCUCGGGAAACCGGGAUUAAAACCUCAUGAAUCCAUAAGAAGACAUCUUCUAAUGGACAAAGAUUUAUCGCCUGUGGAUGGGCCUGCGUCUGAUUAUGCUAGUUGGUGAGGUAACGGCUCACCAAGGCUGCGAUCAGUAGCCGACCUGAGAGGGUAAUCGGCCACAUUGGAACUGAGACACGGUCCAAACUCCUACGGGAGGCAGCAGUGGGGAAUAUUGCACAAUGGGCGAAAGCCUGAUGCAGCAACGCCGCGUGAGCGAUGACGGCCCUAUGGGUUGUAAAGCUCUGAUCUGAGGGAAGAAACAAAUGACGGUACCUCAGGAGAAAGCCCCGGCUAACUACGUGCCAGCAGCCGCGGUAAUACGUAGGGGGCAAGCGUUAUCCGGAUUUAUUGGGCGUAAAGGGUGCGUAGGUGGUUUUCUAAGCGCGGGGUGAAAGGCAAUGGCUUAACCAUUGUAAGCCUUGCGAACUGGGAGACUUGAGUGCAGGAGAGGAAAGCGGAAUUCCUAGUGUAGCGGUGAAAUGCGUAGAUAUUAGGAGGAACACCAGCGGCGAANGCGGCUUUCUGGACCGUAACUGACACUGAGGCACGAAAGCGUGGGGAGCAAACAGGAUUAGAUACCCUGGUAGUCCACGCCGUAAACGAUGAGCACUANGUGUCGGGGCUUAACCGCCUCGGUGCCGCAGUUAACGCAAUAAGUGCUCCGCCUGGGGAGUACGCACGCAAGUGUGAAACUCAAGGAAUUGACGGGGACCCGCACAAGCAGCGGAGCAUGUGGUUUAAUUCGAAGCAACGCGAGAACNUACAGGGCUGACAUCCNCUGAAAGGCGGUAACGCGUCCUCUCGGCAGAAAAA
rnacentral:rRNA from 2 species